rnacentral:rRNA from 1 species
UACGAAGGGGGCUAGCGUUGCUCGGAAUCACUGGGCGUAAAGGGUGCGUAGGCGGGUCUUUAAGUCAGGGUUGAAAUCCUGGAGCUCAACUCCAGAACUGCCUUUGAUACUGAAGAUCUUGAGUUCGGGAGAGGUGAGUGGAACUGAGAGUGUAGAGGUGAAAUUCGUAGAUAUUCGCAAGAACACCAGUGGCGAAGGCGGCUCUCUGGCCCGAUACUGACGCUGAGGCACGAAAGCGUGGGGAGCAACCAGG